AGAGUACGGCGUUUCUGUUCAAUGAGCUAUCGCGAUAGCAGAUGAAACAGUUGUUCAGAUAGGUGGACCACAACAGGCUCAAAUGUCGUGCAUAGAGAGAAGAAAGUUACGACAGAAAUAGUCCUAUUUACGUGAUUCUAUUUCGUACAGUAAACUUCGACAACGGCAGCUGUUCCCCUGUCCAGGAUGCAAAUCCGCAAUGUUGUCGAAUUUGAAUGAUUGAGGACCAGUAAUGUCACAAACAAGCACAUUGCCUAAUCACACUGCUCAUUGAGCUUUGAAUCGAUGUACUAUGGGCCCAGAAGAGAUGAAAAAACGGGCAUCAAUCUCAAUAACAUCAGAAGCAAUACUAACAGCAGAACAAUUGCCAGCAGCAAAAACAUCUCCUGGAGUAGAAGAAGCAGCAUGUAAAAAGAUCAUAAAGAAAUCAACACUACCAAAAGCAGCACAGAAGAGAGGUGGAAGGAAUAAAAGAAAGCAGGGGCCUAUGUAUUUGAUGGGAGAGUAUUUUUACAUCCACAGAUAUCUGACCUCACUUAUGGAAGAACACUCAAUGGAAAAAAAUAUCCAAGUCAUCAUGGAACAUUGCAAUUUGUCAUGAAAGCAAAGUAAAAUGGCAAAAUAAAUGUUAAGAAGUUACCAAAGCACGUAAUCGAGUACUAUAACAUGAGUGAGUGCAGCAAAAACAGAUUAACUUCCGAUGCUACAGCUGGGUGCAUGCAAGAAGGUGGCAGUGCGAUGUAUUCUGCACAGUGGGAGAAAGAGAAUAAUAUGUAAAUUGAAGGUGGAGGGGGAGAAAUAGUAGGAAAGAGAAGGAAUUACUUAUGUCAGCUGCAGCAUGACUUUAUAUGGAAUCAGCGGUGAUGAGUGAAAAUGUAUUCUAGGCAAUUGCAUUAACCAUUGCACCAUCUGGACACAGUGUUUAUUGUGGACUAUCUCAGCACAUCUCCAGGCCAAACCACAUUUCACCUGUUGCAGUCCCGAUCAGGUCCUCCUUGAGACUCCUACAGGAGUUUGAACGAAAUUGUGCAUCCACACUGAAUGUGGUGGUUUUAUAGCCCAUUGAAGUGAAUCAGUUAUAUGAAUGUGUGUUGUCUGUUCUUUCAGGCAUGUCCAAAAGAACAGGCACCAUAUGGAAUCCACAGCUGUUAUACAUAUUAUGUAAACUGAAGGUGGAGGGAGAGAAAGGAAAUGAAAGGGAAGGAACUAUUGAUGUCAGCUGCAUUGGUACUUUAUGCAAAAUCAUUGGUGAUGAGUGAAAAUGUGUGCUCUUCCAGGACUCACACAAGAUCUCCUGCUUACUAGGCAGUUGCAUUCACCACUAUGCCAUCCAGACAUAGUGUUAUCAAAAUUAUGUGGACUAUCGCAGGAUGCCUCCCAAGUGACCCACAUUCUCAAGUAGGCCACCUAUCUGCCAUCCCCAUCCGUGUCCUCCAUGCUCACUACUUUGAAAGUCCCACAGGAGGUUGAACACAAUUGUGCAUCCACACUAAAUGUGGAGGAUUCAUCAUAAAUUGAGGCAAAUCAGUUAUAUGAAUGCAUGGUGUCUGUUCUUUCGGACACAUUUGAAAGAACAGACUCCAUGAAGACUCCACAGCUGUGCCAUAUAUUAUGUAAACUAAAGGUGGAGGGGGGAAGAAAGGACAGCAAAGCUACUAUUGACAUCAGCUGCAUUGGGACUACAUGUGGUGGCUGUACUUUUAGAUAUCUCCGAAAGAACGGACACCGCGAAUUCGUAUAUAGACUGAGAAUAAUUUGCGAUGUUUCCAUUAUGCUCUUUGUGUCUGUCCCACAAUUCUUACUACAGCCAUCACCUACCCUAAUAGCUGGCAACACAGGGAUGAGCACUACACCUAGCAACUGUUUCUGCUUCUGACUUGGCAGUAUUUAUAUGCUCGGGAACUAUUAUUACUGUUGCUUCUUAACGUAAUACUUCAUGUGUUUGCAUUACUUCAUCCUUAAUUAGCACUAUCAUGGGAAAGUAACCACAAUAUAUAUAAACUAACAUGAAAAUAAACAAUUAAUGUUCUGAGCACACCCUGAUGUGUC